rnacentral:rRNA from 1 species
GACGAACGCUGGCGGCGUGCUUAACACAUGCAAGUCGAACGAAGUGGCGAACGGGUGAGUAACGCGUAAUCAACCUGCCCUACAGAGGGGGACAACAGUUGGAAAAGACUGCUAAUACCGCAUACUGAGGGAGGGGCUUGCGUCUGAUGAGACAGGUGGAGGGGUGACGGCCAACCAAGGCGAUGAGCAGUAGCCGGUCUGCGAGGAUGAACGGCCACAUUGGGACUGAGACACGGCCCAGACUCCUACGGGAGGCAGCAGUGGGGAAGCUUCCGCAAUGGACGAAAGUCUGACGGAGCAACGCCGCGUGAGUGAUGACGGCCUUCGGGUUGUAAAGCUCUGUUAAUCGGGACGCGGUACCGGAAUAGAAAGCCACGGCUAACUACGUGCCAGCAGCCGCGGUAAUUC